rnacentral:rRNA from 1 species
ACGAACGCUUGCUGCAGGCCUCAAACAUGCAAGUCUAGGGGGUGUAGCAAUACAUCACCGGCGGACGGGUGCGUAACACGUGGGAAUAUACCUUUUGGUUCGGAACAACGCAGGGAAACUUGCGCUAAUACCGAAUGUGCCCUUACGGGGAAAGAUUUAUCGCCAAAGGAUUAGCCCGCGUCCGAUUAGCUAGUUGGUGAGGUAACGGCUCACCAAGGCUCCGAUCGGUAGCUGUUCUGAGAGGAAGAUCAGCCACACUGGGACUGAGACACGGCCCAGACUCCUACGGGAGGCAGCAGUUGGGAAUCUUGGACAAUGGGGGAAACCCUGAUCCAGCCAUGCCGCGUGAGUGAUGAAGGCCUUCGGGUUGUAAAACUCUUUCGACGGGGACGAUAAUGACGGUACCCGUAGAAGAAGCUCCGGCUAACUUCGU